rnacentral:tRNA from 1 species
GCGGACGUGGCGGAAUUGGCAGACGCACUGGAUUUAGGUUCCAGCGCCGCAAGGCGUGCGGGUUCGACUCCCGCCGUCCGCACCA